GACAGAAAGUGGAACAAAAGUGGGCCUAAGAGCGGUGAGCAUGGGAACAUGAGGGAAGGCUAGAGACCUCAGUUCCUCUCUAACAUUGGAAGAUGCUUUGUUUUGAGUUUUCCUAUUGCCUCCAUGCCUAUUUUUCUUUGGUGCUCCUUCCUCUUCCUUUUGGAU
rfam:Triticum urartu cultivar G1812 contig297508, whole genome shotgun sequence.